rnacentral:lncRNA from 1 species
CUGGUCGAAAGGAGGUUUAAAUACCUCUCAUCUUUAAAUUUGGGUCAUUUGUGCGCGUCCAUAUGGCAUGACGAUAAUCAUCUAAUCGUGCGGGUCCAUGUGGUGCGACAAUAAUCGUCCGAUCGUGUUUAUUUGAUGAACUAAUCUGAACCGCUCGAUUGGAGACACGUGAACAGUUCGAUCGUAAACGUAGCUUCCCGCAUGGAGUCCGUGUCGACGUGUUUGCCAUGUGGCAUGCGGUGACUCGUCGUGUUGUUGAUUGGGAG